GUCAAUAUGGCGGAGUAAAACGCAGAAGAGCUAAGAGCUUUUUACGGUAGAAGUUUACCUAUUGAUA
rnacentral:tRNA from 1 species